UCGACGCCUUAGUCUGGGCUAUUGUUUUAGUUGAGCUUCUUUUAGCUUUUUACAGUCCAUCAUGGCUAUCAGCUCUGCAGAGAUGAGACACUGCGUUUUCAUUAAGGGUUAGACCCGUGUGAGGUUCUUCUUCGUCUCUGCAUAGCUCAUGGCAAAUCGGGUUUCACUAAUGAUCUUUCGUCUUCUUCCUCACAGUACGAAAGGGUACCAGUUACGGGAUUAUCUUCUUCGAUGGAGUCGAAUCGUCUAUGAUUCCCAUCUUCUAAGACAUCAUAAGAUGUCUUCAUUCAUUGCUUUAAAAAUCUGUUAAUUCGAUCAACGCACAUCGAGGACGAUUAAUCAUUCAAUGCUGCUUAUCCAUCAUAUAGUCGGUGUUUCUCCACCUAUAAAAAAGUAAGCCCUUCAUAGCUUGAGCAUCAUCCUCAGAGUUCCUGUAAUCCAAAAAAAAAAUUGCUGUGUAAUGGCUUGCGUGUUUUUGGGGAUGGACCUGCUCCCCAUUUAUUCAAAGUCAACCCUCCUACUUGCCACCGUUAAUUUUCACCGUCUCGCCACUUUUCGACACCACUUCAAGGCUGAUUCAAUGUUAAGACUCGGCUGAUUUGAUGUGACUCGGUGCAAUAAGAACUAGGGCCUGUUCGAUUUUCCUCUAUCGAUUCGGUUCAGUUAUUCAACCAUUUUCCAUGCGUUAACCGAACGAGUUCUCCAAUUCUGAUUUGGUUUUUCGGGAUCAUGAUUAGCUGCUUGGCCUAGCCAAUACGAAUACACAUCUUCUAGACAUUAUUGGUGAACGAACAGCUGUGAAAGUACAGUUAGUGACGUUCUCCAGGUAAAAGAACGUUUCAUAUGAAGCCCAUUCAAUACUUUCAUAAAUGAAGAGACUUUUUCUUUGUGAAGACGUUGAUGAUUUCAGAUUAUGUUUUUCCCUUGACAAUGGUGAAUCGUGUCAUUUCACAACUACUGGAAAGCUACCGGAAUGAUCCAAGGGUUGUAGGAGGGACAUAUAUUUUAGACAGACUAAUGCACGGGAGAACAUUAACUGUGGGAAGAUCUUCAAGUGGUCUCACCUCCAAAAUGUGGAUGUAAGUGGUAAGAUUGUGUGAAAUCAGCAGCAACUGUGGGAACAUCUUCAAGUUGUCUCACCUCCAAAAUGCUCCAGCAACAGCAACUACCAAGGUCGCCAAGAAGGCACGAGUGGCUUAAGUGAAGAUAAUGAAAUUACCUGGAUGCAGUACUUUUUGCAUAAUGUUUAUGCAUCGAUGUGGUUUUCCUUUUUUUGAAACAUUUUGAGUACUCUACUGUGUUUUGAUAUGUUUUCAAAACUAUCUAGAAAAUGCUUAUUUAUCAAAUUUAUCGCCCUCAUUAAACCAAUAUCUUCUGUGUCCAAUAAACGUUCUAUGUAGUAAAUUGUGCGUGUAAUAAUUCAAGAGCUUUAACAGAUUUAACAA